rnacentral:rRNA from 1 species
GACGAACGCUGGCGGCGUGCUUAACACAUGCAAGUCGAACGGAAAGGCCCUGCUUUUGUGGGGUGCUCGAGUGGCGAACGGGUGCGUAACACGUGAGUAACCUGCCCUUGUCUUUGGGAUAACUUCAGGAAACUGGGGCUACUACCGUAUAGCAGCUCCUGCUGCAUGGUGGGGGUUGGAACGUCUCGGCGGUUGGGGUUGGACUCGCGGCUUACCAGCUUGCUGGUGGGGUAGUGGCUUACCAAGGCUUUGACGGGUAGCCGGCCUGGGAGGGUGACCGGCCACAUAGGGACUGGGGUACGACCCAGACUGCUACGGGGGGCAGCGGUGGGGAAUAUUGCACGAUGGGCGGAGGCCUGAUGCAGCAACGCCGCGUGCGGGAGGACGUCCGUCGGGUAGGAAACGGCUUUCGCCUGUGACGAAGCGUGAGUGACGGAACUGGAUAAAGAGGCACCGCCUAACUACUU